AGUAUAUAAAGAAAUUAUUAUGGAUUAUAAGCAAUAUAUCACAAGAGAGAACAACUAUUUAUUUAAUUUGUGUUUAGUAGUACACAUGAACUCUUAGAGAAAUUAAGUAAAAAACGAAGUGAAAAGAAGGCUCUUAGUAACUUUAGGAAAAUAAAUCAAAGGAGAUUCUAUUAUUAGUGUGAAUGAAAAUAGAAAAGCCUAUAAAUAAAUAAGUAAAAUGGAUAUUAAUCUGUUUGAAUUAUAAAGGGGAACCUUCCUCUAAGGCUAAAUAUGAUAUAUUAGCGAUAGUGAAUAGUACCGAGAGGGAAUAAUAUGAAAUAGUAAUUUUAUAAGCAGCUCGAAACCAAAUUUAAAUAAAUAAUCAGAGCGUACCUUUUGCAUAAUGGGUCAGCACCUAGUGAUCUUACCAUGAUCAGAAUUAUAAAAGUUCGAACGGGUUAUCGUUGUAAAGAUAUCCGAUGAAUUGUGGUAAGUUGGUGAAAGAUAAAACUGACUAGGAUAGCUGGUUUUCCGCGAAACCUAUCUAAGUAGGCCAUUUAAAUAACAUCAUUGCAGGUACAGAAUUUUGAGAUCUCAUUAAAAACUUACGUUAACUUCUUAUUAUUAAGUAUAUGAAGUAUUCGGGGAAUCGUGAAGAUUUUACUGGUGAGAAAUUAAUCUAGGAAUGGUAAUGAUGAAUGUUGAAUAAUCAGACAUAGAAUGCUAAGGUUGUAUGUCAAAAGGGAAACAGCCCAGAACAAGUGUUAUAAUAAGGUUCCAAAAUUAUUAUUAAGUGAAAUCAAGGAAGUCUUUUGAUUUUAAUUCGAUCAGGAAAUAGGCUUAGAAGCAGCCAUUUUUUUGAAGACCUCGUAACAGAGCACUGGUUAACAAUGUAAAAAGGCAUUGAAAAUUUAACGGAUCUAAAAUAAUAUACCGAAACCUUGUCUAUAGUUAUAAAUAUUUAUAUUGUAUAACUAUAGGGUAGCGGAACGUAGGGGAUAUAAAAGAAUUUGUUCUUUUUAAGAAAAAAUAAUAUAACUCUAGUGAUAAUGCUGACAUGAGUAACGAUAAAGGCCAAUCUAUAGGUUGACCUCGCCUUAAGCUUAUGGUAUAGAUAAAAGUAACGGCCUCUAAGUUUAUGAACCUAAAGGACUAAACGAUGAGAAAACCUUGUUUAUAAAGUAAUAACCUUUAAAUUUUUAAACAUUCAAUAUCUGAUGUAAAUAAUAAGUGAUGAAGAGUUCAGGAAAAACGAUAAACACUUAACCGUACCUAAAUACCAGCUCAGGUAAGCAAGUAGAGAAUACGAAGGCGUUUGAGUGAACAAUUCAUAAAGGAACUCGGCAAAAUAGCUCCGUAACUUAGGGAUAAGGAGUACAGUUCAUUACGAAAUAAGGGGGGGCGCUCUUAUUUAAGCGCCCCCAUUAAUAUUAAGUAGUGUUCAGGUAGCAUAAAAUCGAGUUGUACGACUGUUUAAUUAAAACAAAGCACUUUGCAUAAAGAUAAAACUCUAAGUAUAAAGUGUGAGCUCUGCCCAAUGUUUGAAGGAUAACAAAUAAGCUCAGUGUUUAACACAGGCUUAAAUAGGAAUCUCUUAUGAAUGGCGGCCUUAUCCGUUAGGGUCCUAAGGUAGCGGAACACCCUGGCCGUUAAAUGCGGUCUUGCAUGAAUAUUGAGCGAUACAACAGCUGUCUCUAUGAUUGGCUCAGUGAAAUUGGAAUAGCAGUGCAGAUACUGUUUACCUCUAGAUAGACGAGAAGACCCUGAUGCAGCUUUACUGUUGCUAGUUAUUGUGGUAUGUUAGAAUAAGGUUGUAGUGGACAAGGUAGUUGGUUAGAUGUAAUUGAAACACCUUUACUUUUAACUAUCAUAUUGCUGGGAAGCCAGAUUAAGUUAUGAAAACAUAACAUCUGAGCAUAUCUCCCCCGAAAUAACAAAUUGUUAAAUUAGGGUGACCAUAUUAUCAUUAAUUUUAAUGAAUAUAAGAAUAUUGGCUAGGUGGCAGUUUAUGCGGGGCACAGAUCCCAUAAAUAGUACCUGGGUAUAGUCCAAAAUAGUAAAAAGUAUUCGUAUUUUUUAAAUUUAAUUAAGUUUAAGAUAAUUUAAUUAUCUUAUUUAAAUUUUUAUAAUAUAAAAAUAAUCAAGAAUAGAUCUAUUAAGUUAGAGAUUUUAUUUAUUUAGUAGUAAGAGUUACCUAUAUGGAAAAUAGCAGAGAGGUAUAAUAUAUUAACUAUAAUAAUGUAUGGUAAUAUAUUAUUUAGUUGCUUAAGUUUGGUUGAUUUAACCUUAUAAAAAGCGAUUUUUUUAUUUUUUAUCUCUGAAAAGGUUCAAUGGCCAGAAACUUGCUUUACUGUCAGACUUACGAGUCUAUCAGUCGCGUAAGCGGGGCAUACGAUCACAAGAUACAUUAAGGAAAGGGUCUUGGGUUAUGAAAAAAAGCUACGCUAGGGAUAACAAUUAUCUGUUAGUCCUCCAACAUUUUAAAAGGUUGGUAAUUAAAUUGGGUGAAUUCUGAACAGGCUAAUUGCGUCAGAGAGUACAUAUUGAGUACGCAGUUUGGCACCUCGAUGUCGGCUUAGCUUAUCCUCGUGAAUGCACAAAUCACGAAGGGUUCGGCUGUUCGUCGUUUAAAAAGCUACACGAGAUUAGUAAAUACGUUGUGAAACAGUAUGGUUUCUAUCUUCUAGGGGGAAUUAGAGUAAAAUAAGGGUUGACCCUUCGUACGAAAGGAGUUGGGUAAGAUAACUAAUAACCUCUGGUUUACCUGUUGUUUAUGUGUAGAUAUUAGUAUAAAUUUAAAAAUUUAUUUGUCUAUAUAUGGAUUUAAAUUCGUAUAUAUAAAGAUAGGAAGUUACUAUCACUUAAGUAAAUUUUAAAACAUAGGCAUGGCAGGAAAGCUACGUUUUGUAAGGAUAAGGCUUGAAUGCAUGUAUCUUCGAAUCCCACUUUAAGAUACUCUUAAAAAUACGUAGUAUACUACUACG
rnacentral:rRNA from 1 species